UACACUCCUACGGGAGGCAGCAGUGGGGAAUAUUGGACAAUGGGCGCAAGCCUGAUCCAGCCAUGCCGCGUGAGUGAUGAAGGCCCUAGGGUUGUAAAGCUCUUUCACCGGUGAAGAUAAUGACGGUAACCGGAGAAGAAGCCCCGGCUAACUUCGUGCCAGCAGCCGCGGUAAUACGAAGGGGGCUAGCGUUGUUCGGAUUUACUGGGCGUAAAGCGCACGUAGGCGGACUAUUAAGUCAGGGGUGAAAUCCCGGGGCUCAACCCCGGAACUGCCUUUGAUACUGGUAGUCUUGAGUUCGAGAGAGGUGAGUGGAAUUCCGAGUGUAGAGGUGAAAUUCGUAGAUAUUCGGAGGAACACCAGUGGCGAAGGCGGCUCACUGGCUCGAUACUGACGCUGAGGUGCGAAAGCGUGGGGAGCAAACAGGAUUAGAUACCCGAGUAGUCCC
rnacentral:rRNA from 1 species